CUGGUGUCAGCCGCCGCGGUAAUACCAGCACCUCGAGUGGUCAGGACGUUUAUUGGGCCUAAAGCAUCCGUAGCCGGCUUUGCAAGUCUUCGGUUAAAUCCACCUGCUCAACAGAUGGGCUGCUGGAGAUACUACAAAGCUAGGGAGUGGGAGAGGCAGACGGUAUUCUGUGGGUAGGGGUAAAAUCCUCUGAUCCAUUGAGGACCACCAGUGGCGAAGGCGGUCUGCCAGAACACGUUCGACGGUGAGGGAUGAAAGCUGGGGGAGCAAACCGGAUUAGAUACCCGGGUAGUCCCAGCUGUAAACGAUGCAAACUCGGUGAUGCAUUGGCUUAUGGCCAAUGCAGUGCCGCAGGGAAGCCGUUAAGUUUGCCGCCUGGGAAGUACGGACGCAAGUCUGAAACUUAAAGGAAUUGGCGGGGGAGCACCACAAGGGGUGAAGCCUGCGGUUCAAUUGGAGUCAACGCCAGGAAUCUUACCCGGGGAGACAGCAGAAUGAAGGUCAAGCUGAAGACUUUACCAGACAAGCU
rnacentral:rRNA from 2 species